rnacentral:tRNA from 1 species
GCUCAGUCAGUAGAGCAUGAUACUCUUAAUGUAAGGGUCGUGGGUUCGAGCCCCAC